rnacentral:lncRNA from 1 species
UUGUCUUCAUUAGAGAAUAUCCUUUAUUUUCAAGCUAGGCUUGGGGUCCUAGCCAAUAUAAUUUUUCUUGUUUUCUGUUUUCAUAAUCCUAGGUCACAGACCUAAGUCCAUGAACCUGAUCUUCUGUCAACUGACUUUUGUUCAUGUAAUGAUGUUCCUUGCUGGAGAGAAUUUUGGCUUGCAGACAUAUUUGAGUCACUGAAUUUUGAAAUUGACUUCAAAUGUAAGGCAACUUUUUACACAAAGAGGGUGAUGAGAGGCCUCUCUAUCUAUAUUACCUACCUCCUGAGUAUGUUCCAAGCUGUUACAAUCAGUCACAGUACCUCUUUGUUGGCAAAAUUUAAACAUAAUUUAAAUAAAUACAUGAUCUAUGCUUUCCUUUAUACUUGGUCUUUCAGUUUAUCUGUCAGUAGUAACCUGAUCUUCGAUGUUGGUGGUUUUACUAAUGUGAGUGUGACCAACCAGAUGAAGGUUUCAAAAUCCUGCUCACUCUUUCCCAUGAACUACAUCAUAAGAGGAUUGAUAUUAACAGUGAUAACCUCCAGUAAUAUAUUUCUUGUAGGAGUCAUGCUGACUACCAGCACAUACAUGGUGAAUAUCUUGUUCAGACAUCAGAGGCAAUGCAAGCAUCUUUAUAGCAUCAGCCAUCUGAGAGCAUCCCUUGAAAAAAGAGCCACCCAGACCACCAUGCUGCUGGUGUUUUUCUUUGUGGUUAUGUAGUGGGUGGACUUUAUUAUCUCAUUCACCUCAGCCCUGUUAUGGAUGUAUGACCCAGUCAUCCUGACUGUUCAGAAGUUUGUGGUGAAUACCUAUCCCACAAUUACUCCUUUGGUAUAAAUCAGUUCUGAUAAGAGAAUAAUCAAGGUGCUGAAAAACUUGCAGUCUUAGU